UGCCUGGAGUGAAGAUUCUGCCCAUUGGUCAAGAGACCUCCCUCUCAGAUGCUGGCUCUGCCCCUGCCUUUGGGGGUCGACCCUUGUACUCGCAGGACCUUAGGUGACUCUGACUUUGUCAAAGGAAAAAUUUCUGCAUGUGCACACACAGAUCUUGGAAGUUUAUUCAUCUCAGCAGAGGCAGACAGGAGCAUCAACAGCCUUGGGGACAGCAGCAGUGGUGGUGGAGUCUGACUCUGUCGCCCAGGCUGAAGUGCAGUGGCACAAUCUCGGCUCACUGCAACCUCCGCCUCCCGGGUCCAAGCCAUUCUUGUGCCUUAGCCUCCUGAGUAGCUGGGAUUGAAGAAAACUCGGGAAAUAUCAAAAACUUCCAAAAAAUAUAAAGAAUCAGAAAAAGCGGCCGGAUGCAGUGGCUUACACCUGUAAUACCAGCACUUUGGAAGGCCAAGGUGGGUGGAUCACCUGAGAUCAAGAAUUCGAAAACAGCCUGGCCAACGUGGCAAAACCCCCAUCUGUACCCAAAAUACAAAAAUUAGCCUGGCGUUGCAGCGGGCGCCUGUAAUCCCAGCUACUCAGGGAGGCUGAGGCAUGAGAAUUGCUUAAACCUGGGAGGCAGAGGUUGCAGUGAGCCGAGAUCGCACCACUGCACUCCAGCCAAGGUGACAGAGCAAGA
rnacentral:lncRNA from 1 species